rfam:Pan troglodytes isolate Yerkes chimp pedigree #C0471 (Clint) chromosome 20, whole genome shotgun sequence.
GCUGGGUGCGGUGGCUCACGCCUGUAAUCCCAGCACUUUGGGAGGCCGAGGUGGGUGGAUCACCUGAGGUCAGGAGUUCGAGACCAGCCUGACCAACAUGGUGAAACCCCAUCUCUA